rnacentral:lncRNA from 1 species
CCUGGCUACCUCCCCGGAGGCAGUUAGUUUGGUGCUCGUCUGAGAGAAUGAGAACCGAGUUCACCAACCGAUAUAUUAUGUCAGCAAAGUGCUUCAUGAAGCUGAGACUCGGUACUCGAAGGCAGAGAAAAUGAUUUUCGCUCUGGUCAUUUCAGCACAGUGACUCCGUCCGAACUUCCAGGCACACGCUAUCGUGGUCCUCACCGACCAACCCCUGAG